rnacentral:lncRNA from 1 species
GGGCGGGUGGGAGAAGGGCUCCUCCUCCUUAGCCCCGGGGCCCAGGUGGCCCCCAGCCUCAGGGAUCUCCCCGUCCUGCUGCAGAGGGCAGGUUGCCAGCCUCCAGGUGGCCCGUCCCCCCUGCCCACUCUAGUGCCGUCCUCACUCAACGUCUGUGGCCGAUGCUGUGUGGGUCCUGGACUCCCCGUGGCCUGUCACCUCCCCCGCUGAAGGCCCCAGGUGCGGAGGCCCCAGAGGCCUGGGCCUCACUGCCUCCGCUCCUCCUCCCGGCUCUGUGUUCCCAGGGCCAAACCCACUUCUGAGUCUCCUUCUGGAUGAGUCUGUGCCCUCCUAUGAGCUUCGCCCUUCGGCCUGGAGGAGGGCUGCGAAGGGCAUCCCUCUAAAGCCAUCAAGGGUGUCCCUGGACAAGCCCCGGCCUGGGGGCCAGCGGCUGGCCUCCACGACUCCCGACUCUCAGACCCGGGCUCCCACCGUCGGUUUCUGGAGUUAAAAUCCGACCUGGGCUCCGUUUUGGCUCUCUGCUUUCCUCCCUCGCUGUCCUGACCGUUGGCAGGUGACGGGCCCUCUUCUGGGGACAGGGAGACGUGAGAAGGGAGAGGCUGGCACUUGUGAGCCUUUCCUCCUGACGUGGGGUUAGUGGCCUUUGGUGACCCUGUGACCAAAACACCCAACAGGAGCCACUUAGAGGAGGAAGUUGAUUUGGGGCUCCUGGUUCCAGAGGUCUCAGUCCGUGGACGGCCGACUCCACGGCUCUGGGCCCCAGGUGAGGCAGAAGGUCAUGGCAGGAGGGACAGCAGGGGACAGCUGCUCAGCCCGUGGUGGCAUCAGGAAGCAGGGCGGGGGAAGGCCCCGUGGCCACCUCCUGCAGGCACCACCUGCCUGCGGUCACCGCCCAGUCGGUCCAUUUACCUAGGACGGCUCAGCAGGUCACAGCCUCACAGUCCAGUCACUGUCCUCUGGACAUUCCUGUUGGAACACAGGAGCGGUGGGGGACCCUCACAUCCAGCCGUCACACAUGGGUGUCUCCAGCAAGUGACAGGUGUGGGCCUUGGUGACAGAUCACCCAGGGAACAGCACCACUCCCCACCCCCAUCCAGGCUCAGCACUGAAGCCCAGGGGGGUUUGUCUGCUCCUGGCCCCUGGGGCCUCCAGUUCCAGUGCAGUAAGAGAGGCCAGCACCGUCAGAUCUUAGCAGAUGGGGGUCACAGAAAGUGCAGGCAGAAUCCCAGGGCCUCCUUCCCAGCCCUACCUGUCCCCAGAGCCACACCUGUUCAGACUGGAUCCACUGUCAAAAAGUAACCGGGUGUGGCCGGGCACGCCCGAAAUCCCUCGGGAGGCUGAGGCAGGAGGAUGGCAAGUUUGAGACCAGUCUCAGCAAAUCAGUGAGACCUUAAGCAAUGAAGGGAUGCCCUGGCUCGAAAUUAAAAAAAUAAUAAUAAUAAUCAAGGAGACGGGCUGGGAAUGUGGCUGGGCGGUCCAGUGCCUCUGGGCUCAACCCACGGUACCAGAAAGAGAAAGAAGAGCGCGUUUCCUGUUUCCAGUUGGAUGGACAAUGUCAGCCGGAGCUCCCGGAGGCUUGGCCAGGCCCCAGUGACCCUUCAGAGAUAUUUUAGAACCAGACUCUGUUCUCUGGGAUGACGACGGGUCAUUUUGAAAAGCCUUAACUAGGUCAGCUGCAGGACCGUGUGGGUGGCCCGGGCUGCCUGCUGUAUUCAGGGGACUGCUGAACAGCCUCCGUGUCCGGGCAGCAGUGGACCUAUUACAUCAGGCGGUCAGGGGGACCCCGAGGUCAGUGUUCUCAAAGCUCUCCAGGGAAGCCCAACAGGCCAUCAAGCUGAGAACCACAGGACCUGACCACUGCGGGGGUCUGUGGCCUCGGAGUCCUCAGGGAGCGGGUUAGAAACGCAGAGUCUUGGUCACUCCUGCCCUACGGGGCCAGAGUGGGCAUUUCCACCAGGUGAGUCCUGUCCACAUUCCCGUCUGACCCUGUUCCAUCAGAAACUGUAGCCACUAACCACCCGAGGCCAUCUAGACUUAAAUGAAAUUAAAAAUCUAGCUCUUCUGUGGCACCAGGCACAUUGCAGUUGUCGAGUGGCUCUGGUGGCCCUGGUGGCCACCACAGUGGCAGAUGUAGCCCAGAAGUACUGGCCUAGAACAUUCCUUCCCUUGGGAUGCUACAGGCCUACAGAUGACCCUGUGCCCCCGGCCGGGGUGAGCCGGAGACGCCUUCCACCAGGAUUACGAGGGACGUUUCUAGAUUAUUGAUUCUCUGCUCAUUGAUUAUUGAUUCUCUGUUCAUUGAUUAUUGAUUUUCUGCUCAUUUUAGAGAAAUCGAGAACACAGCCCGUCACCCCGAGAGCUGGACAUGUGCCAUUCAGGGCGGGGGGCACACAGAUGGGAAGGAGCCCGGGAGGGACGUGGGCAGCAGGAUGCAUUUCAAGUGUGAGAGCAGAGUGUGAGGUGGUCAGCGCUGGGGUCUGCUGUGUCCACCUCCAGCUCAACCACAGUCCCCGCCCAUCACAGUGCCGUUGCUGGCCGAGGGCUCUUCCUCUCUCCUGCGCGAGGGUGGGUGGUGGGGGGCAGAGCAGGGGCCCUGCCAGCCCUGGCCCAUGGGGCAGGCCGGGCGGGUUUCCCCGCACACAGGCGCACACACGGGCUGCCCGGCAGGAUGCAGCUGGUGCUAAGCACGUGAUCAUGGCAGAGCAGGCCUGAGUGGUCACGUGCAUUUCCCCGGAGGACGCUGCUCUCCACUGAGAUGCUCUCCACCGCGCUGGCAGCUGACGGGCUGAGGGCUGGCGCUGGGUGGGCUGGCCCUGGGCAGGCCAGCGCCUGCUCUCUUUCCCAGUCCCCUGACUAUGCGCCUCCUAAAUUAGCCCAGGGGAGGUGAACAGCAACAGGUGCAGCCCGGCAUGUGGCCACACGUGGCCCUGGACACUGUCCACAUCUCCCCGGCCCUGGCCCAGGGCUCUGCCAGUGUCUUCUGCAGGGAAUGGAGCCCACAGAGGCGACGUGAUUUUCCCCGAGGACACGGGGCUACCAUGGGCUCAGCACGCCCAGUCCAGGAACACAGACACAGGACGUCCCCAGCACGGCCAAGACAGCCCGAGCGGCAGGCCCCACCCCUGGCCUCACGGGGAGCGGCGGUCACUAGGUGUGCUGAAGCUACGCAGGGAGCCCCUCGGCCUGUGCGGGUGAGCUGCCCACGAGACGUGGACGCACUCUGGGUGUGGACGCAGGCGCUGUCCCCAGGACGCCUCGGGCAGUCCACGCCGGCCCUCAAGAGGCCGGAGGGGAAAUGAAGUAAAUUAACAGACUAAGUGGUCACCAGUUGUGGUCAGUGCUAUGAAUGGGAAACAGACCCCAAGGACGCAGACGGGGGACCUGGGAGUGGGCGUAGGCAGCUCAGUGUGCUGUCCUGCGGGAGGUGUGAAGAGACGCGAAGGACGAGGGGGCAUCUGAGGUGGGGAGGGAGAGGAGACUCAGGCUGAGGUUGCCCAGGGAGCAGAGGCCACAGGCCCAGGGUCCCCCAGCAGGAUCCAUGUGGCUGGACGGCAUGGGUGGCCUGGGAUGGAUGGUGCGGCUGCCUCCCACCCGCCUCUCCCACACCAAGGGGCUUCUGUCCCCGUCCUUGCUCCUGCCCGUCCUGCCCUGUGACGACUGGACUGUUGGUUCUUCUGGCCACCUCGUGAGGUGCGCUGGAGCCCCAGGAGGACAGCGGGAGGGACCGGUGUGGAAAAGUGGGAGGAAGGUGCAGAGGCCCCCGCACGGCUGCCAGCCAGAGAUGGGACGGCGGAGCCUCCUCGGCACCCUGAGGAUCCCUUCUGGCCUGGCCUCCGCUGCCCUGCAAGCGCUGGUGCCCAGAGGCUGGACUCUGUGGCCCCAGAAUUGAUGGGGGUCACUCUGAAACAUGGGUAGCCGAGGCCGGACCCAGCUGAGGCCAGGCCCUCAGCCAGCCUGGCUGGAACUCAGGCCACUUGACCCCAGAGCCCCUGAUCCUCAGCCCCGUGCGUGACUUGAGAGACCCUGAGGCCCCUGUCCCCUGCAACCUGUCCCAGCCCUGGUGCCCGACACCACGUGACCUUUCCUCACAGGAAAGGUGUCCCCCAGCCUUCAGGGGGUGCCUCCCCUGAUCUCCCCACCUCACACGCCUGAGAGUCAGAACACGGAGCAAUCGGGUCACGGUCUCCUCGGUAAAUCAGGGCGGUGUCGAAACCCAGGCCUAGGCCCGAGCCUCAGUGCCCUGAGCCCCAGCACCCAGAGCCCCAGCGCCCCGAGUCCCACCUUCCUUGUGGUUGGCAGAGCCCUGGUCAAGUUCCGGUUCACUGUGCUGCGUACUGAGAGUCAGAGCUCCCCAGCAGGCAUGAGUGUGGCCUUGCCUGACAGUGGGACUAGGCCUGGGCAAGUGGUGACCCCAUCAAUGAGAUUCAAGGGGGUGUUGAGUGGGGACCUCUCAGAGAGACUCCCCUCCAUGAGGGAAAGCCUCCUUCUUUCCUUCGGGCAGACAUUAUUGGGUUCACACCUGACACCCGGAGCAGCAGCAGCCAUUCUGCAAUACUGAAGAGGCAACCCCGAGAGCAAAGGCAACAUAAUGGAGGUGGCAGGAAGAGGCUGAUCCUUGCUGAGGUCAAUUGUUUGCUGACUUCUCCAUGGAAGCUCCUCCUCUGGACUCCUCGUGAUGCCUCGUUGCCUAAUCCACAUUCAGAUAUGGGCUUAUUUGAAGUCCAAACAUCUCGGAGAUCUAUGUCCAUCUGCCCCUGAAUCUCCGACUGAUAAGGAAGGCUUUGAACUCUGAAAGCCUGGCCCCUGGACCAGCCGCAGCUGUAGCAGUGCACAUUCUGGCCCCCGUCUCCGGAAUCCGCAGGGCGGAGCACUGGCCAGACGUGUGUGAACACACCGCUGGGCGGCGUGACCCUACUCAAGUUCACAGCCAGUGCCACCCUGCCUUACGUAAGGCUCCCUGUCACACAGACGUCAGAAGGGACCCCUGGGAGGUGAUGGUGGCUUCACGGUCCCCUGGGACUUGCCUUUCCAGUCCUGGCUGCGUGGGAUCCUGCUACCCUGACCCUCCAGGGGCCGCCGGAGGGAACUGUGGGCCAUGCUGGCGUGAGUCACCGCCCUUCCAGAGCCUGGGGGCCUGCGAGGAGUGCCGGAGGUCACCAGAGCAUCGGGAGGACUGGGUGCACGGCUCUGAGGUCACCUGAUGAAGUGGCACUUGGCAGAUCUCAGCAUCACAAUCGCUCAGUCAGCUCCUGGGAGAUGGGGAGGUGCCCACAUGGCUGGCCCAGGGAGAAGAGAGAUACAGACAGGGAGAGACGGGCAGACUGCACGGGCUGUGGCCUGACUAGCAGCCGAGGGCUUGCUGUGGGGUGAUGGUCAGUAGGUGGGGCAGGACGCGGCCAGCACCCAUUACAGCAUCAGGCUUUGGCUUGGCUUGUUUUUUCUUUUUAAUUUUUAAAAUGUGUUCUAAUUGGUUUUCCACGACAGUAGAAUGCAUUUUGACUCGUUGUUACGUAAAUGGAGCAUAACUUCUCAUUCUUCUGGUUGUAGGUGAUAUAGAGUUACACGGGCCGCGUGGUCCUGUGUGCACGUAGGGUAAUAAGGUCUGAUUCAUUCCCCAUCCUUCCUACCCUCUCCGUUCAUUCCCCUGUGCCUAAUCCUAAGUAUCCCUAUUUUUCUCUCGUCUCCCACCCCCCCAUUGUGAAUUAGCAUCUGCAUAUCAAACAGAAUAUUUGGCCUUUUGUUUUUUGGAAUUGGCUUAUUUUGCUUAGCAUGAUAUGCUCCAGUUCCAUCCAUUUACCAGCAAAUGCCAUGAUUUCAUUCUUCUUUAAGGCCGAGUAAUAUUCCAUUGUGUAUACGUCCCACAUUUUCUUUAUUCAUGCAUCUGUUGAAGGGCACCUAGGUAGGCUCCAUAGCUUGUCUACCGUGAAUUGAGCUGCUAUAAACAUGGAUGUGGCUGCGUCACUAUAGUGAGCUGAUUUUGGUUUGGUUUUAAGAGUAAAGCACCUGUAUUAGAAAACUUGAAAUCCCUGUGCAUAGAGCCAGCAGAUUUUGGAACUGGAGAAACUCAGCUUUCCAUAUCCUGGUCCCUGGCAACUCUGCGUAGGUCGCCACCCCUGGUAAAAGGACUUUGCAGGGCUGGCUACACCGUGGGCCUUGAGUUGGAGAGGUGCUGUGGCCAUACCCACAGUAGUCACUGAUGUCCUUGUAACAGGGGCAUCGGGGUCAGAGGAAGGAGGGUCAAGGAUGGAGCUGAGGUCAGAGAGGAGAACAGAUGCUCAAAGGAAGGGACCCGGCCAAGGAGUGCAGGUGGCCUUGGGGAGCUGCCACCAGAGGAGAGCAGGACUCUGGGUGCUCCUCAGGCCCAGGGUCCACUCCAGGAGUGUCA